rnacentral:rRNA from 1 species
GAUUUCUGACAGACCGUUGCGGCCCGUGCUCGUUUCGGGCGUGUGUGCCGUGUCGUGUUUGUCAUCCUUCCAGAGAGCUACGUCUACCAUUCAUUUGGCCGGACGUACGUGAUCUGGAUCGAUUACUUUGAAAAAAUUAGAGUGUUUAAAGCAGGCUUAUGCUGUGAAUACAUUAGCAUGGAAUAAUAAUUUAGGACUUCGGUCCUAUUUUGUUGGUUUCUAGGACAGAAGUAAUGAUUGAUAGGGACAGUUGGGGGUGCUAGUAUUCCGCGGCCAGAGGUGAAAUUCUUGGAUUCGCGGAAGACUAACUACUGCGAAAGCAUU